AUGGAGUCCUGCAGGAUUGCCAUGGUUUUCACCAUCUUCAUUAUGACUAUACUGGUUUUCACUCGCUGUGGUUUUGCAGAGAGUGUAGCUGAAGAUGAUGUUGCUGCAAUUCCACCAACACCAAUGGAAAGCAGGGGAGUACAUAUUGGUGUCUCAUCAACCACACUUGCAUUCAUUGCCUUUGUGGCUACUUGCUUCAUCUAA